rnacentral:rRNA from 1 species
CAGUCGAACGGAGAUACGCGCUGAAUGACGAAGCUUGCUUUUGAAUUCUUGUGUAUCUUAGUGGCGGACGGGUGAGUAACGCGUGAGCAACCUGCCUUUCAGAGGGGGAUAACGUUUGGAAACGAACGCUAAUACCGCAUGAGACUACAGUACUACAUGGUACAGUGGCCAAAGGAGCAAUCCGCUGAAAGAUGGGCUCGCGUCCGAUUAGAUAGUUGGCGGGGUAACGGCCCACCAAGUCGACGAUCGGUAGCCGGACUGAGAGGUUGAACGGCCACAUUGGGACUGAGACACGGCCCAGACUCCUACGGGAGGCAGCAGUGAGGGAUAUUGGUCAAUGGGGGAGACCCUGAUGCAGCGACGCCGCGUGGGUGAAGAAGCGCCUCGGCGCGUAAAGCCCUGUCAGCAGGGAAGAAAAUGACGGUACCUGAAGAAGAAGCCCCGGCUAACUACGUGCCAGCAGCCGCGGUAAUACGUAGGGGGCAAGCGUUAUCCGGAUUUACUGGGUGUAAAGGGGGCGCAGACGGCGAUGCAAGCCAGGAGUGAAGGCCCGGGGCCCAACCCCGGGACUGCUCUUGGAACUGCGUGGCUGGAGUGCAGGAGGGGCAGGCGGAAUUCCUGGUGUAGCGGUGAAAUGCGUAGAUAUCAGGAGGAACACCGGUGGCGAAGGCGGCCUGCUGGACUGCAACUGACGUUGA